rnacentral:rRNA from 1 species
GUAACCUGCCCUUGGCUCUGGGAUAAGCCCGGGAAACUGGGUCUAAUACCGGAUAUGACGCGUCACUGCAUGGUGUCGUGUGGAAAGUUUUUCGGCCAGGGAUGGACUCGCGGCCUAUCAGCUUGUUGGUGGGGUGAUGGCCUACCAAGGCGACGACGGGUAGCCGGCCUGAGAGGGCGACCGGCCACACUGGGACUGAGACACGGCCCAGACUCCUACGGGAGGCAGCAGUGGGGAAUAUUGCGCAAUGGGCGGAAGCCUGACGCAGCGACGCCGCGUGGGGGAUGAAGGCCUUCGGGUUGUAAACCUCUUUCACCACCGACGAAGCGAAAGUGACGGUAGGUGGGGAAGAAGCGCCGGCUAACUACGUGCCAGCAGCCGCGGUAAUACGUAGGGCGCAAGCGUUGUCCGGAAUUAUUGGGCGUAAAGAGCUCGUAGGCGGUCCGUCGCGUCUGCCGUGAAAACCCGAGGCUUAACCUCGGGCCUGCGGUGGAUACGGGCGAACUAGAGG